UACGUAGGGAGCAAGCGUUGUCCGGAAUCAUUGGGCGUAAAGCGCGCGUAGGUGGCUUCGUAAGUCCGUUGUGAAAGUCAAAGGCUCAACCUUUGAAAGCCGAUGGAUACUGCGGAGCUAGAGUACGGAAGAGGCGAGUGGAAUUCCCGGUGUAGCGGUGAAAUGCGCAGAUAUCGGGAGGAACACCUAUGGCGAAGGCAGCUCGCUGGGACGUUACUGACGCUGAGACGCGAAAGCGUGGGGAGCAAACAGG
rnacentral:rRNA from 1 species